GACGAACCGUGCGAACGUUGUUCGGAAUCACUGGGCUUAAAGGGCGCGUAGCUGCUUGCCAAGUCGGGGGUGAAAUACUUCAGCUUAACUGGAGAAGUGCCUUCGAUACUGGCGGGCUUGAGGGAGGUGAGGGGUCUUUGGAACUUCUGGUGGAGCGGUGAAAUGCGUUGAUAUCAGAAGGAACGCCGGGUGGCGAAAGCGAAGGACUGGACCUCUUCUGACGCUGAGGCGCGAAAGCUGAGGGGAGCAAACAGGGAUUAAGA
rnacentral:rRNA from 1 species